GCGCACUCUAGACCUAACGGAUCUUCUGAGGCUGUUGUUGGCGUCUUUGAUAGUUGCUUGGGUUGAUCAAAUUGGCCGAUGUUUACCAAACUCGGCCUGUCUCUGGUCCCUCCCGGCUCUUCUCAGGCCUUAGUAUGUCCGGGCCUCAGUUAUAUUAUCUCUCGGCCCUGCACACCUCAGUAUCUCUAGGGCGCGCAGGGGAUGGUGCAGGGAAAGCACUCUCUCCAUGAAUACUGUCCAAGGCAACUUGGAAGGGUGUCCCAGGCUGUAGUCCUCAACCUUGACCCUAGAAACCUCAAACAAAUGCCCUUCUCAUGAACAAAAUCUGAAGAGACAAGAUUCCACUUUGUCAACCAUGUUGGAGUAAUUUGUCAUGAUUAUAGUUCACUGCAACCUGGAAUUCCUGGGCUUAAGUGCUCCUCCCACUGUAGCCUCCUAAGGACCUGGAAAUAUAGGCAUGCACCACUACACUUGGCUAAAUUUUUUGCAGAGAUAAGGUCUUGGUAUGUUGCCCAAGCUGGUCUUGAACUCCAAGUCUCAAGCAAUUCGUCCACCUCAUCUUCCCAAAGUGCUGGGAUUAUAGGCAUGAGCCACUGCACCCAGCAUAAAUACCAUUUUUUAAAGAGAUGUCAGGCACAAGGAAGUUAAGCAUAGUGCUCUGAAGUAGCAUAAAAAAACUAGUCAGUAAUAACUGAGUCCUGGCUGGCCAAACCAGGGGCUGAAGUCACCACAAAAUGUUGGCAGAGUUCCUGCAAGUGCGUUUCCAAAACCAUCCAGAGAUGAGGCAGUUGGGAUUCCAAAGAAGAAGCACUAGACACCAGGGGGACAAGUCCAGCGCAUUUAUUAGGGGAACUUACAUAAAGAGUGGACUGUAGCCCUCCCCACAGUAGACACGCAAGAAAGAGGUGUUCUACUAGGUAUGUCCAACUGCCACGGGCUCAUGAUAUGGAGGUUACAGGAGGCUUUAAGGAAUUGGACUCAGGGGAAGGGGCCGUUUUCUUUCAGUGUUUUGGGCAACAAACUCAACACCUUUAUCCAUGUCUGGGAAUAUUCAAGGCCCUGGCUUGGGUUCAAGCCUGCUGGGAGAGUGUGCAGCGGUCGGGUCACAGAGCAGUUGAGGCACUCUGUGUUUCUCAGUCAGGACAGAGAAAAAGUAGGAGACACUGGGAGACCCUACAACUCUUAUGUGGUAGAGGGAACACAGAUUCAAACCAAAGUUUCAGACUGAUUUUUGACUAUAAAUUAGAAAGGACUCCAGUUAUCCCAACAAUAAUGUCACUUGCUCUACAGAAAACCGAUGUGCUUUCUCAUGUGAGAGGAGGGCUGGAGUCCUGGGCACUCCACUGUGUAUAACCCACAGCCAACCUUCUUGUGCUGUCACCUGCAACCUGAACAUACCCACAGAAGUGUGUCAAGCACGUCAGUGUCAUCCAACAUGUGUGGAAAUGGAAAAGGGAACUGAAAACUAAGUACCAUGCUGUCCUGCCAACCUACUCCUCCCUUUUGUUAUGUGAAACCUUUCCUGAAAGUUGAAGAAGGAGAUGCAUCCAGAGCUGUUCCUGUCACUCGGUCUUAUCCCCAAUCCCCAAGAACUGGGAUGGAAGCCAUCUUGUUGUAGAAUGAGAAAGUAAGUUUUCUUGGCAAAUAUCCAUGCCAAUAGCCAACAGUCUCCCAGAAAGACAACAGUUUCCUAGCCAACAGCCAACGUAAUGUAUCUCCCAGAUCAAAUCUACCCUUUCAGGUUUAACUUUGAGCAGCCCAUCCCAUUGGACCACAGGUGGGAGAGUCUACUAUGGAGUAGUCUCCCUGACAUCUGACAAACAACUAGAAAAAGCUUUAGUCCCCAGCUCUAAAUAUUUACAGUGACUCACAACUAGCUUUUAGUAAGACUCACCUUUUUAGGUGGACUUUUAGACACUGAUGUUUGUGCCGCAGUUGUAUAAGUUGCCUAUUAUUAGUGAAGCACUUUUCACCUUCCUAUUGUGCCACUCGUGCGAUGCCUUUAGAAGUCUUUGGAAAACAGUUGCCGAUUUUCUUUUUCCAAUUUCAUUAUCUCCUUCCUGUUUUAUAAAUGUGAAAAGGUGCUUCCUUCUUUCCUGGGCUUUCAUGCCCGAGGCUUUGACAAAAUUGCUAUUCAUUCUGCUAUCCUGGAAGUAGGGAUUUGGGAGGCAAGAUUGCUCUCAACUUCUUCCAAUACAACUUGGGCCAAAUACUUCAUGGGUUGCUCCCCAUCACUUUCUAGACUUUCAAGAGCUGAAAUGAGAAAGAGUUCAACUCAAACUCCAGGUUCUUAAGGACUGUUGAUCCAAACUCUGCUCUUUUCCCCACUGUAUGCUAGGUCAUUAUGACAUGAUUUCAUUUAGAAUAAUUUUUGUCACACUCAAAACCAUACAUGUUUCAUUAUAUAAAACAUUUAAAAUACAAUUUUUUCCAAAAGAAAGUAAGAAAAAUCAUUCACGCCCAGAGAUAGCACUGCUAAUACUUUGGUACCUAAUUGAAAUAUUUUUUAAAUAC